AAACCAACCGGGAUUGCCUCAGUAACGGCGAGUGAAGCGGCAAAAGCUCAAAUUUGAAAUCUGCGUAAGCCGAGUUGUAAUUUGAAGAUGGCUACUUUGGUAAUGGCUCUUGUCUAUGUUCCUUGGAACAGGACGUCACAGAGGGUGAGAAUCCCGUGCGAUGAGAUGUCCAUUACCGUGUAAAGUGCUUUCGAAGAGUCGAGUUGUUUGGGAAUGCAGCUCUAAGUGGGUGGUAAAUUCCAUCUAAAGCUAAAUAUUGGCGAGAGACCGAUAGCGAACAAGUACAGUGAUGGAAAGAUGAAAAGAACUUUGAAAAGAGAGUGAAAAAGUACGUGAAAUUGUUGAAAGGGAAGGGCUUGAGAUCAGACUUGGUAUUUUGUAUGGCUUGCUUUCGGGCGGGUCCUCUGCAGUUUACUGGGCCAGCAUCGGUUUGGGUGGCAGGAUAAUAGCAUAGGAAUGUGGCUCUACUUCGGUGGAGUGUUAUAGCCUUUGUUGAUACUGCCUGCCUAGACCGAGGACUGCGUCUUUGACUAGAUGCUGC
rnacentral:rRNA from 1 species